CCGUCGGCACUAGAUGUAUGCUCGUCCUCGCUGUCGCCGCAGGGGAAUCCGGUGGAAAUCCGGAACUGUCCCGCAACGGUGUACGUACGGGUCCAAUCCGCCCGUUCCGCAGUCCGAGGACCUGCCGACAGCACGCCAUCGCC
rnacentral:ncRNA from 2 species